rnacentral:rRNA from 1 species
GAUGAACGCUGGCGGCGUGCCUAAUACAUGCAAGUCGAGCGAACGGACGAGAAGCUUGCUUCUCUGAUGUUAGCGGCGGACGGGUGAGUAACACGUGGAUAACCUACCUAUAAGACUGGGAUAACUUCGGGAAACCGGAGCUAAUACCGGAUAAUCUUUUGAACCGCAUGGUUCAAAAGUGAAAGACGGUCUUGCUGUCACUUAUCGAUGGAUCCGCGCUGCAUUAGCUAGUUGGUAAGGUAACGGCUUACCAAGGCAACGAUGCAUAGCCGACCUGAGAGGGUGAUCGGCCACACUGGAACUGAGACACGGUCCAGACUCCUAAGGGAGGCAGCAGUAGGGAAUCUUCCGCAAUGGGCGAAAGCCUGACGGAGCAACGCCGCGUGAGUGAUGAAGGUCUUCGGAUCGUAAAACUCUGUUAUUAGGGAAGAACAUAUGUGUAAGUAACUGUGCACAUCUUGACGGUACCUAAUCAGAAAGCCACGGCUAACUACGUG